GACGAACGCUGGCGGCGUGCUUAACACAUGCAAGUCGAACGUGAUUUUUGUGGAAAUUCUUUCGGGAAUGGAAAUGAAUUGAAAGUGGCGAACGGGUGAGUAACACGUGAGCAACCUACCUUACACAGGGGGAUAGCCGUUGGAAACGACGAUUAAUACCGCAUGAGACCACAGAAUCGCAUGAUAUAGGGGUCAAAGAUUUAUCGGUGUAAGACGGGCUCGCGUCUGAUUAGCUAGUUGGAAGGGUAAAGGCCUACCAAGGCGACGAUCAGUAGCCGGUCUGAGAGGAUGAACGGCCACAUUGGAACUGAGACACGGUCCAAACUCCUACGGGAGGCAGCAGUGGGGAAUAUUGCACAAUGGGGGGAACCCUGAUGCAGCGACGCCGCGUGAGCGAAGAAGGUUUUCGAAUCGUAAAGCUCUGUCCUAUGAGAAGAUAAUGACGGUAUCAUAGGAGGAAGCCCCGGCUAACUACGUG
rnacentral:rRNA from 1 species